GGGUUAUACCUGCGACCCAGUCUCGCGGGCCUGUACUACUCAGAUCGAUUUCAAGAAGUUCGGUAUUACCCUGAACUUCACGCCGAUCGUGCUGUCCGAAGGCCGGAUCAGCCUGCGCGUGCUGACCGAAGUCUCCGAACUGUCGCCCGACAACUCGAUCACCCUCGAUCAGUCGGGAAACACCCUGACCAUUCCGUCGGUCAAAACCCGCCGCGCCGAAACCACGCUUGAAAUUCCGUCAGGCGGCUCGAUGGCGAUGGCCGGCCUGAUCCAG
rnacentral:misc_RNA from 1 species